rnacentral:rRNA from 1 species
UCAUCUUCGGGGGUAGAGCACUGUUUCGGCUAGGGGGUCAUCCCGACUUACCAACCCGAUGCAAACUACGAAUACCGAAGAAUGUUAUCACGGGAGACACACGGCGGGUGCUAACGUCCGUCGUGAAGAGGGAAACAACCCAGACCGCCAGCUAAGGUCCCAAAGUCAUGGUUAAGUGGGAAACGAUGUGGGAAGGCACAGACAGCCAGGAUGUUGGCUUAGAAGCAGCCAUCAUUUAAAGAAAGCGUAAUAGCUCACUGGUCGAGUCGGCCUGCGCGGAAGAUGUAACGGGGCUAAACCAUGCACCGAAGCUGCGGCAGCGACACUAUGUGUUGUUGGGUAGGGGAGCGUUCUGUAAGCCUGCGAAGGUGUGCUGUGAGGCAUGCUGGAGGUAUCAGAAGUGCGAAUGCUGACAUAAGUAACGAUAAAGCGGGUGAAAAGCCCGCUCGCCGGAAGACCAAGGGUUCCUGUCCAACGUUAAUCGGGGCAGGGUGAGUCGACCCCUAAGGCGAGGCCGAAAGGCGUAGUCGAUGGGAAACAGGUUAAUAUUCCUGUACUUGGUGUUACUGCGAAGGGGGGACGGAGAAGGCUAUGUUAGCCGGGCGACGGUUGUCCCGGUUUAAGCAUGUAGGCUGGUUGUCCAGGCAAAUCCGGAUAAUCAAGGCUGAGGUGUGAUGACGAGGCACUACGGUGCUGAAGUAACAAAUGCCCUGCUUCCAGGAAAAGCCUCUAAGCAUCAGGUAACAUCAAAUCGUACCCCAAACCGACACAGGUGGUCAGGUAGAGAAUACCAAGGCGCUUGAGAGAACUCGGGUGAAGGAACUAGGCAAAAUGGUGCCGUAACUUCGGGAGAAGGCACGCUGGUGUGUAGGUGAAGCCCCUGCGGGUGGAGCUGAGACCAGUCGAAGAUACCAGCUGGCUGCAACUGUUUAUUAAAAACACAGCACUGUGCAAACACGAAAGUGGACGUAUACGGUGUGACGCCUGCCCGGUGCCGGAAGGUUAAUUGAUGGGGUUAUCCGUAAGGAGAAGCUCUUGAUCGAAGCCCCGGUAAACGGCGGCCGUAACUAUAACGGUCCUAAGGUAGCGAAAUUCCUUGUCGGGUAAGUUCCGACCUGCACGAAUGGCGUAAUGAUGGCCAGGCUGUCUCCACCCGAGACUCAGUGAAAUUGAACUCGCUGUGAAGAUGCAGUGUACCCGCGGCAAGACGGAAAGACCCCGUGAACCUUUACUAUAGCUUGACACUGAACAUUGAGCCUUGAUGUGUAGGAUAGGUGGGAGGCUUUGAAGCGUGGACGCCAGUCUGCGUGGAGCCAACCUUGAAAUACCACCCUUUAAUGUUUGAUGUUCUAACGUUGGCCCCUGACCGGGGUUGCGGACAGUGUCUGGUGGGUAGUUUGACUGGGGCGGUCUCCUCCCAAAGCGUAACGGAGGAGCACGAAGGUUAGCUAAUCCUGGUCGGACAUCAGGAGGUUAGUGCAAUGGCAUAAGCUAGCUUGACUGCGAGCGUGACGGCGCGAGCAGGUGCGAAAGCAGGUCAUAGUGAUCCGGUGGUUCUGAAUGGAAGGGCCAUCGCUCAACGGAUAAAAGGUACUCCGGGGAUAACAGGCUGAUACCGCCCAAGAGUUCAUAUCGACGGCGGUGUUUGGCACCUCGAUGUCGGCUCAUCACAUCCUGGGGCUGAAGUAGGUCCCAAGGGUAUGGCUGUUCGCCAUUUAAAGUGGUACGCGAGCUGGGUUUAGAACGUCGUGAGACAGUUCGGUCCCUAUCUGCCGUGGGCGCUGGAGAAUUGAGGGGGGCUGCUCCUAGUACGAGAGGACCGGAGUGGACGCAUCACUGGUGUUCGGGUUGUCAUGCCAAUGGCACUGCCCGGUAGCUAAAUGCGGAAGAGAUAAGUGCUGAAAGCAUCUAAGCACGAAACUUGCCCCGAGAUGAGUUCUCCCUGAGACUUUAAGUCUCCUGAAGGAACGUUGAAGACGACGACGUUGAUAGGCCGGGUGUGUAAGCGCAGCGAUGCGUUGAGCUAACCGGUACUAAUGAACCGUGAGGCUUAACCUU